ACAAGAUUGAGAUUGCCAUUCAUAUGGUCUUUCCAUAGUCUCCCCUUGCAAUCAGAAUUGACCAUCACUAUGGACCUCAUCUAUUAGAUGCAGGAUGUCUAGCAAGCCUCUGGACAGGCAGCAUGGCAGAAAUCAACUCUUUCCAAAAAAAAAAACAACAAAAAAAAAAGGCUGCUGAUGACACAGUGGAUAGAGCACACACAAGCUCCCUGUCGGACUCCCUCAGCUCCUGCAUGUCUCCUUGGCUAACAUUUCAGAGCUUCUGAUCCUUCAGACAUCAGCUUCUUGAUACUGAAGAGAUUGUUCUACCUGAUGA
ensembl:lncRNA